UUGUUGUUAUAUCAUAGAAUUUUUAACAACAAGUAUUUUCUUGUUACCAAAUUUUUUAGAUUGUCGUUGCUAUAUGUUAGGAGUAAUACAAUAAAUUUUAGUUUCUAUUGCAGCUAGGUUUUCUCUUUUCUUAUUAGGCUAAACUAAGUUCUUGCGUGUAUUCGAUUAUCGCUGUGUUCUACCCAAAAUCUGCCUAUCAUGACAACAAAUGUGCAUGUUUCUAGUAAUACUGAACCUGCUGCUGAUGUAGUUUCAAAUUCACAGUCAGGUUGGACUUCCUGCUGCAAUUUUUGACAUGAUUGCUAAUUUAAAUGGUUCAGAUGAGACAAGUCCUACAAGUCUUAUGGAUGAUACCAUGGAUGAGCAUGUGUAAACCAACAUUCCUGGCAAUCCAGUUCAUGUAAUGCACAAGCUGUCGAAAGAAGAUUUGUUUUUCGGGUUACUAUUGGAAUAUAACUUAAGGACCGUGGAUAUAUGAUGCUUUUGUUCGUUUUGUUAGUAAAAACAUAAUGUUUCGGACUAUUUAGUUUUUGAAAGUGAGUAUAUCCACUGCAUCAAAUAUAUGUAUAGACUUUAUAUAU